AGUGAACGCUGGCGGCAGGCCUAACACAUGCAAGUCGAACGGCAGCACAGGGGAGCUUGCUCCCUGGGUGGCGAGUGGCGGACGGGAGAGGAAUACAUCGGAAUCUACCUUUUCGUGGGGGAUAACGUAGGGAAACUUACGCUAAUACCGCAUAAGACCUUCGGGUGAAAGCCGGGGACCUUCGGGCCUGGCGCGGAUAG
rnacentral:rRNA from 1 species